rnacentral:snoRNA from 1 species
CCUCCUCUUCUUGCUAAGACCUGGCGCAUUGUCCUGGUCCCAGAACUAUGUGGAGGCAGAGGGAAAGGGCUCUGCCCCUUGGUAUCAGGUCUUUGUUGCCUAUGGUUUCCAGUCCCCUGGUUCUAUCCUCAAGUGAAGGGACACCG